UAACGCUCCCCAACUCCCUCGGCGGAGAGCGUCAGGGUGUCCCGCCCGCGCCCGAGGCUUGGAAGAGAGACACAUUCCCUGCGCGAUUAGAGAGAACUUGGGCUUUGAAUGAUCUGUCCAGGACCUAGACUCCUCUGCGCUGGUCCCACCAAACCUCCAACCCAGGAUCCAGUGCAGGGAGCUGUGCGGGGCUGGGGGACAGGCACCCAGAGGGUAGUGCCACUGCAGCAGUGUAGCACAGCAUGCGGACGGACAGACCCCGCACCAGAGAAGCAUGUGAACACGCUGCAUAUUCUUCGCGUAAGACAAGCAACUGGCUCAAAGAGCAACGAGCAAAGCUAUGUGUUUUGGGGGACAGAAGCGGAAGCUACCACAGGGGGAUGUUAUGGGCUUGUCUACCAGUGUCGAUCUCGCCCUGCUCUGGGAAUGCUCUGGAAACAUGAGCAAACGACCUGCACGAGGGCACUCAUGCCGAUGCUGCUGAGGUGCAGGAAAGCCAAGUGGGUAAAUUAAUGGCUCUAGCAAGGAAAUUGCAGACUGAAGGCAAAUCUAGGGGCUUUGUUAUGGGCUCCAGAGGUCAGAGCAGCUGUGGGGAAAUAGUUAGUUAUAAAAUCCAUAUGCUUGUGAAUGGAACACCAGGGUGUGGGAAGAGGGAGGGACAAUCUGUUCCUGGUGGCGGGACAGACCGUGCUAGCAAGGGCCAGGAAAUGACCAGGGUGCACUGAGUGGGACUGAACAUCAGAGCCACACAUUCAAGGCCAUUCACACCCUUCCCUCACUGCGAGACCCACAGACUGUGCCCUGGAAGCUUUGAUUAUUCAGCCUUAUUUGGGCUGCAGGCCCCAGCCACGGCCAGGACUGCGCUGGGCACUGCACCGGUACAUGGGGAAGCCUUGGGGAUCCAUUGUGGAAGGGGCAGGGAAGGCAGAUUCCUCUGGGUAAAGCAGGGGAAUGGCCCGACCUCUCCGUCCCUGUUUGGUUUUAUGGACAGGAAGGCAAAGCCCAAAACACAGCACCUCCCUUCCCCCCACAAAAGAGGGAGAGGGGAGCGUGACUGUCCUGGGAGAGCAGGUGCUGGCAGCUAAUAAAUAAUGACAGACGCCACAGCAGGCAGAUGAGGGCGCAGGAGGCCUGGCAGGAUCAGGCCCUCGGAGGCCGAGGGGGAGUGCCAGAGACAGAGGCAGGGCGGAGGGAGCUCCUUUCCCCACUUGCUCUGAGUCAGUGCCUCCACCACAAACCAGAUGUGGUUCGUUUCGCCCUUUGACAGUGACCUUUAAAGAGCUGACUCCAUGGCCGCGCCGUCCUGCCCACAGACUGACACAGCCGCCCGUGGCUCGCCAGGCGCUCACUGAGCGAAGAAAAGGAGCCACGCGGAGCAGUGGCCGUAGCCUGUCGGGGCGGGGGGGGGAACGCAGCCCCAGCGUGCAGCAUGAUUUAAACUGGGGACUGUCUGAGCCGCUUUGCACAGAGUGUGUCCUGCCCACUGGGGACCAGCCACAACCAUCCCUAGAAACCACUUUCUAGGCUGUGGGGUCCUGCCACCCCACCAAGUCCAGCGCCGGAGGGGACCUCCUUAUUGUAUGUGCUAGGCGCUGCACAAACAGAAUACACCGCUCGAUGGAACCGUGUGGGGAAGAAGUCUGUGACACACCUGGGUCCCCACGGCACAAUCGACUCUGUAGGGCAGACAGGACUGUCCCCCCUGGGUAGGAAACCACAUGUACCAGCCUCCCCUCCUGCCCGGUGUCUGCCUUGCUGGCUCCGCCUGUCUCUCCCUCUGGGCCUGUGCGGACAGAACGGGGACCGUGAGUAAGCGGGUCAGCGAUAGCCCCACUGUAACGACAGCCCCUGAAAGUGCUCGGGUGACUGAACCCUGGGCCGGUGGGGCCGAACUGCCUGUGGCAAGGAGACUGGUUCCCCUUUGCGCUUGGCUCAAGUUCAGCGCUCCUUGGUGCGGCCGGUUUGAUUGCCCGGUGGACCCUCAUCGUCCUGUCCUCAUUGAACCGCAGAUAGCUCUUGAGUUAAUCUAAUUACUUGAUUUCCCAGCCAGGGGCUUACUCCAUAAAGCCCUUGGAUAAUGAGAGUAUCUGGCUCCAAAUCUACGGUGUAAAAAACCCCAGAAGAAAGCCCCAACCAAGCCCACAGCAGAUCUUUGCAUAUUACUUUCUGCAUCCUUUUAAAGUGACCUGGGGGAAAAAUAAAGAAGCUAGAAAUGCAAAGAA